rnacentral:lncRNA from 1 species
CUGUUCAAAUCUAAAAGAACUGACUGGAAUAAGGAAUAAUUAUAUAUAGAACAUCCACCCAAACUUGUAACUAUAUAUAACAUCCACCCGAACUUGUAGCUAUAUAUAUAUAGAACAUAAACAAAGCAAAAUAUACUACUCACAAGCCAACUUUGUGCCAAAGCUUGUAAGGCAUAUAGCGAAGGCCUGGAAUGCUGACAAGGGCUGCCUAUAAUCCAUUGUGAAAAUAUCAUCC